CGAGUGAAGCGGCAACAGCUCAAAUUUGAAAUCUGACCCCUUUGGGGCCCGAGUUGUAAUUUGUAGAGGGUGCUUUGGCGUUGGUUCCGGCCUAAGUUCCUUGGAACAGGACGUCACAGAGGGUGAGAAUCCCGUACGUGGCCGGCUUCCUUCGCCGUGUAAAGCCCCUUCGACGAGUCGAGUUGUUUGGGAAUGCAGCUCUAAAUGGGAGGUAAAUUUCUUCUAAAGCUAAAUAUUGGCCAGAGACCGAUAGCGCACAAGUAGAGUGAUCGAAAGAUGAAAAGCACUUUGGAAAGAGAGUCAAAAAGCACGUGAAAUUGUUGAAAGGGAAGCGCUUGCAGCCAGACUUGCCUGUAGUUGCUCAUCCGGGCUCUUGCCCGGUGCACUCUUCUACUGGCAGGCCAGCAUCAGUUUGGGCGGCCGGAUAAAGGCCUCGGGAAUGUAGCUCCCUCCGGGGAGUGUUAUAGCCCGGGGUGUCAUGCGGCCAGCCUGGACUGAGGUCCGCGCAUCUGCUAGGAUGCUGGCGUAAUGGCUGUAAGCGGCCCGUCUUGAAACACGGACCAAGGAGUCUAACAUCUAUGCGAGUGUUUGGGUGUCAAGCCCGGGCGCGUAAUGAAAGUGAACGGAGGUGGGAACCCUUCCGGGGUGCACCAUCGACCGAUCCUGAUGUCUUCGGAUGGAUUUGAGUAAGAGCAUAGCUGUUGGGACCCGAAAGAUGGUGAACUAUGCCUGAAUAGGGUGAAGCCAGAGGAAACUCUGGUGGAGGCUCGCAGCGGUUCUGACGUGCAAAUCGAUCGUCAAAUUUGGGCAUAGGGGCGAAAGACUAAUCGAACUAUCUAGUAGUGGUUCCUGCCGAGCU
rnacentral:rRNA from 1 species